CAGGCUGCCGGUUGAUCCGUCUUGUGUCUGCAAUAACCCGAACGUAGUCUAGUAAGGUUUGCUCAAGUGAGAUGGAAAAUGAAGAGGUCGGCUCCAAAACAAGCUUGUGACUGCUUUGCUUUGACAGAGGGAGAUGCAAAUAAAAGAGGAUUGGUGACUUCUCCACCAGCUGCUAUUGGCCGUCCGGACCUCUUUGGGUUGCAGUGUUAGAUGUGCUCUUGUAUGGGAACUGUUGAAUCACGGCCUGAACCUCUGAUUGACCACCCGAGGCGAGCGCUGAGUCAGCUGCAGGGGCACAGGUGAACACAGUU